rnacentral:misc_RNA from 1 species
UGUGAGGGAGAGAGCCGCAAAGCGCGCGUGCAUCGCAAUCAAUAACGGAGAAGGAAGCACAGCACGGCAAGGGCAAGCAACAUACACACGAAAGGAAUACCUUUGUCGCAUGCCUGCCCCGCGUGUGGGCGAGAUGAUUCAGUUCCUGCUGCUGAUGAGCCGCCAAGGCAAGAUAAGACUCUCCAAAUGGUACGUGACGCUCUCGCAGAAGGAGCAGACAAAAAUCAUCCGCGAAGUGUGCCAGGCGGCGCUUGGCCGCUCUGCUCGGCUGUCGAACAUGUUCGAGAUUGAGGGCCGAAAGUACGUUUGCCGCCGCUACGCCUCUCUGUACUUCAUCGCCUGCGUCGACAAGACAGACAAUGAGCUGAUUACGCUGGAGAUCAUCCACCACUUUGUCGAGGUGCUGGAUCAGUACUUCGGCAAUGUAUGCGAGCUCGACUUGAUCUUCAACUUUCACCGUGCGUACUUCAUCCUUGACGAGGUGCUGCUUGGUGGGGAGCUGUUGCUGAGCAACAAGCGUGCCACGCUUGCCUACAUCGACCGGCUUGAUGUUGCUGCAGAGCGUAGCGAGGCACAGCUCGAGGGCAGCUCUUUUGUGGAUCAGAUGACCAACGCCAUCAAAGGGGUCUGAUGGGUGUUCGUUGCUGCCUGCCGAACACCAUGUUUGCGGACUUAUUGGGGGAUGGGGGGCGAACAGACUGUUGCUUGUAGAUUAUUUCUAAGUUGUCACUCUGCCGUGAACAAGUACACAAACACGAGCACACGACCACAGCUCACACGCCCCCUUGUUGAACUGCCGCCACACCCGCGUCGGCCAGGACGAGUGGUUCUGCCGUCGAAAUCGGGCCAUGCGUCCCAUCGGCUUCUCUUGCCCUCCCCCGGCCGCCUGCUCCCCCAACCUUCCGCUCCUCUCUCCCGCCACCCGCUUUCGUCGGUCGCCGAGCCGCUGCCCUGGGGCCGUGCCAGG